rnacentral:lncRNA from 1 species
GACCUUUUCAAAACACCAGCUAUGAACAAACUUUAACCCUAAAAACGUAAGGCUCCUUUUAAGUUUAAACACAUCUAAAUAACAAGUAGUUAAUCUUCAGUAUCAGCAAUUACCAGAAAUCAAACUACUUAGUACUAUAAUUGUAUGGCACUUACAAGGAAAAACCCAGACACCAAAAUUUCUCAAAUCUUUAUAUAAUGAAUAUGGAGACCAAACCCACAUGAACUAAAAUGCGAAGCAAACUGAGAAAAGGAUGGAAAAGAAAUUUGAACCAUUUCUCGAUUUGUGCGUGUCAUCCUUGCGCAGGGGCCAUACUAAUCUUCUCUGUAUCGUUCCAAUUUUAUCGGAUGUCCCCGAAGGGACAACGCCUGUGGGCCGCUGCUUCCAUAUAAACGCUUUUGCUGGUAUGUUCCUAAUUGAUGUGGGAUAUCUAGUUGGUUCGCAACUAAACAUGAACUAGGCUACCUCAUCCUGACCAAGUCACGUGGGCUGGUUUAGACAUCAAAAUAAAAGCCAUGGGCUUGUGGUGGUAGAGUGGGACCCUUUGUUUAAACAUGGGCUGCUCACUUAACCUAAGAGACGAAACUUUAAUGGUUGCAUUAGUAAAUAAUAUUUAGUGUGGCUUAGGUUACUUUUUAAGCAUGAUUUGCUGGUAUUGCUCAUGGUUUGAUACAUCCCCAACUAGUGCCGUCAUAGGAAAAAAAAUGAGAAUAAGUUGAUGGCAGUUCCCAACUAUCCAGUUAAAAUAAUUAAGACAAAAAUAAUCAUUUUAUGAUAAUUUUGAACAGAUGUAUUUAGGGAACAAUUCAUUUUUACAUAAUUACAAACUUUGCAUAUUGGGUCUGAUUUCACAAGUAGAAAAAGUGAAAGACAAACAUUGAUGGCUUAGCCACUUGCCGUAUUUUGGGUCUUCAAUUCCUUUGGAUGAUGAACUCACUCAGCUCAUCUGCUUCUUUUUGACUGCCGUUUUUUCCUUCUCUCUAGUUCCACAGCAAUGCAUUAAUGGGGGACAUCUUAGAAUACAGGAUUACUGAUUCGGUUCGGCCACAGCAAACCAUCUUCAAAAUAUUUCACCUCAUUCAGACAGUCAAUCCCUCUUUUUUAUCUUCGCCUUCUGUUGUUGCAUUGUGUAUUUCAGCCGCAGAUUUUAUCUUCAAUCUGUAGCUUGACUGAGA